GGAUGAUGAAGUCUUGCAACUCUUCCAAUCUCAGAGUAGAAGUGAAUGGUCUCAUAAGCCUCUGGAAAUUUUACUCACCAGCAUUUCCAUUCAAAGGAAUAAGAAGGGAAAUAUUGCAAGAGAGAUCAUGCAAUCGAACCAUCUAUAUUUACCCUUGUAUGACUUCCAGAUAACAUCCUCCAAUUGACGUGAAUCCAAACAUGUAUAUAUGAGCUCAUGCUCAUGUCAAAG
rnacentral:lncRNA from 1 species